rnacentral:rRNA from 1 species
GACGAACGCUGGCGGCGUGCUUAACACAUGCAAGUCGAGCGAUGAAGUCUCUUCGGAGAUGGAUUAGCGGCGGACGGGUGAGUAACACGUGGGUAACCUGCCUCAUAGAGGGGAAUAGCCUUUCGAAAGGAAGAUUAAUACCCCAUAAGAUAGUAGUUUCGCAUGAGACAGCAAUUAAAGGAGUAAUCCGCUAUGAGAUGGACCCGCGUCGCAUUAGCUAGUUGGUGAGGUAACGGCUCACCAAGGCGACGAUGCGUAGCCGACCUGAGAGGGUGAUCGGCCACAUUGGGACUGAGACACGGCCCAGACUCCUACGGGAGGCAGCAGUGGGGAAUAUUGCACAAUGGGGGAGACCCUGAUGCAGCAACGCCGCGUGAGUGAUGACGGUCUUCGGAUUGUAAGGCUCUGUCUUCAGGGACGAUAAUGACGGUACCUGAGGAGGAAGCCACGGCUAACUACGUGCCAGCCGCCGCAGUAA